rnacentral:rRNA from 1 species
GACGAACGCUGGCGGCGUGCUUAACACAUGCAAGUCGUACGGUAAGGCCCUUUCUGGGGUACACGAGUGGCGCACGGGUGAGUAACACGUGAGUAACCUGCCCACAACUUUGGGAUAACGCUAGGAAACUGGUGCUAAUACUGGAUAUGUGCUCCUGCUGCAUGGUGGGGGUUGGAAAGCUCCGGCGGUUGUGGAUGGACUCGCGGCCUAUCAGCUUGUUGGUGGGGUAGUGGCCUACCAAGGCGGCGACGGGUAGCCGGCCUGAGAGGGUGACCGGCCACAUUGGGACUGAGAUACGGCCCAGACUCCUACGGGAGGCAGCAGUGGGGAAUAUUGCACAAUGGGCGCAAGCCUGAUGCAGCAACGCCGCGUGCGGGAUGACGGCCUUCGGGUUGUAAACCGCUUUCAGCAGGGACGAAGCUUUUUGUGACGGUACCUGCAGAAGAAGCACCGGCUAACUACGUG